rnacentral:misc_RNA from 1 species
UGUAUACACACACACACACACACGCUAUGGCGCCUCACUUCAAAAAGGCAUUCACCUCACUUCUUGCUUAAGGCCAUAGUUUACCCUAUCGCCUCUGGCCUUAGUAACACUGCCCCCCACUCAGAAUACAUUAUAAAUUAAAAGCAUAAGCUGUAUCCUUCCACAUACUUCAAAAAACACAAAAAGUUGUCAGGUGAAUUGAUACAGGUGAUCCUCAAGUAGACAUUACACAUGCACACAUAAACCAGGCUCUGUGAUUUUUAACACUAUUAUACUAAGCUCACAGAUGCAACCUUGGACUGCCUAACUGACCAACAAAUUCAUUGAGACAUCAAUUUCAAACUGUCACUAAGUGUUUCAGUUAUUUAUACAGCCUUAUAAGCCUGAUUCUUUCAUCAAUUUAGCCCAAGGAUCUAAAUUAAGAAAUAAGAAACCAUAAUAUAGAAACCUAUGCACAUUGAACUCACCUUUCUCUGCCAUUCUUUUCUCUCUAUCAUAUUCAAAUUUGUCCCGAAUUUGAUUGACCUUUUCCCAUGUAUCACCUUGCUUAUUUCUCCCAAAACCUUGAUCCUGCAUUCAAAAUCCAAUCAGCUACAUGGAAAAAACAAACAAAACCAUGCUAAAAGCAUCAAAAACUUUCAAAUAUCUUAUAGUGUAUAAGUUUAGACAUGUAAAUAACAUCACAAAGGUAUGGUCUCCAGGAUUACACACUAUUUCAAUAUUUACAAAAAUACAAAUCCAUUCAUAAGCACGCUUUCUGGUAUUGCAAUAAUUCUGGCAAACUUCUAGAGGUUCACUGUUUCCAUAAUAUUACAUUGGAUUAAUUUAAUACAAACAGUGAACAACUGAACUAAAUUGAUACAAUCAUAGAUACCUCAAAACCAAU